GUCGCACCAAGAGCCUAUCAUACAGCCUAACAUGGACUAUAUAGGGAAUAGGGUGCCAUUUGACACAGCCACUGUUUUAUCAAACAGCUCCUCCUAAACUGGCUUUGAGGAGAAAAACAAAUAUUAUUAGCACUACCCAUUGAUCUACUUUGGGAUAGAUUUCAAUGCGUUUGCAUUGUUUGUCAAAAAUGUCAGUCACACAAACCAGAAAUGGGUAUCAGUUGGUUACCCACUGAUGUUGUAAUUACACUGCACCUGCCAAUGGAAAAAAAAACAUGUAAAUGCAUGUUUUAAGCACAACUUGAUGUAUAGAGUGGGGACUGUAUUUUGUUUCCCAGAGCAAUGAGGGAACUGACCAAUCGUAGCCUAGACCUUUGUUCAAAGAUGAAGACACUUCAGCAGGAAUCAUGAGCUUCAGGACCAAAUCACAGACCUACAAAAAGCAGAGGCUAGAUCCAAAGCGUCUCACGCAUGAGAAGAUGGAUGAGUUGAAGAGGGAGCCGCCCUGAGGCGAAGUACAGAAACAUCCUGCAGAAAUACCAGAAGAUGGCCACCAUCACACAGAAUGUCCUGCGGGGGAUAAUCAUUGCCAGCAAAGUGAACUGGCGAGAUGACCCCAAACUGAGAGCCAUCGCCAUGACGUUGGAGGACAUUCCCAUCUUUGAGGAAUGAGCAGUCAGCAUGGAAGGAAAAUAAAUUGUAACAUUGUUUAAGCAUAAUGUGUACAGUUAUCAGAAGCUGUAGUGAGAGAGAAGGAACAAAGUGUUGAUAUCACAGUAAUGUAAAAUCUUAAAAAUCUGAUCUUAAGAGCACUUAGUAAAAUACAUACAUAAUACACUACAUCAGAGAUGGACAUUUGUACUGCAGUUGCACUGCAUUUUGUAUUGACCUUAACUUGAGU